AACGAACGCUGGCGGCAUGCCUAACACAUGCAAGUCGAACGAGACCUUCGGGUCUAGUGGCGCACGGGUGCGUAACGCGUGGGAACCUGCCCUUCGGUUCGGGAUACCUCCCCGAAAGGGGUGCUAAAAUCGGAUAAUGUCUUCGUACCAAACAUUGUUCGCCUUUGGAGGGGCCCGCGUUGGAUUGGCUAGUUGGUAGGGUAAAAGCCUACCAAGUCGGCGAUCCAUAGCUGGGCUGGGAGGAAGAUCAGGCACACUGGGAACGAGACACGGGCCAGACUCCUAAGGGAGGGAGGAGUGGGGAAUAUUGGAAAAUGGGGCGAAGGCUGAACCAGCAAAGGCGGGGGGGUGAAGAAGGGCUUUGGGGUGGAAAGCCCCUUUUGCCGGGAAGAUUAUGAAGGUACCCGGAGAAGAAGCCCCGGCUAACUUCGUG
rnacentral:rRNA from 1 species